rnacentral:lncRNA from 1 species
CCAGAAAACACUUGAUUCUACUAGAGAAUUACUUUUAUUGAAAAUAAUGUAGUUUGCAACUGAAAACUUUAGUUACAGCAGUUAAUGCAAAGCAAGUCAGAUCAGUCCAAAUGUACUCAAUGUAGUCAUACAAGUCAUAUUUUAAGUGAAUCUACAAAAUGGCAUCCUUCUCUACAGGGCUCCUUGACCAGGACAGCCUUCUUUCCCUGUCCAACCAAAACGUUGAUCUGCACUCACUUGCACUGCCCCAUGCAAUAGUUAUUGUGCUGGUCUUGAUAGCCCUGUAUACACAUAAUCAUGCAUUAAGUAUCACUUUACAAACAUUGUAAGGCACUGCUAAAUAUGCUGUUGCGCUAUACAUAUUAAAGGGACACUCCAUUCAUAGUCUGGCACCAAAAUAAGUGUAUUUGAAAGAUUUUAGCCUCAUAUUUCAUACUGUUUUUCUUCAUAUGUUUUUACAAAAAAAAAAAGGAAAAGGUUUUACAGUUUUCUAUGGAAUAAUCAUGUACCUUUAGCCAAACUCCUUUCCACAAAGCAAUUUCUUUAGUUCAGGUAUUUUGCGAACAUACUUAGUAGCUGAGCUGCUGACCUCGCUCCUCCCCAUAGCUCAGAAAUCAUCAAAUAAAUGUCAGUACCCAGAGUGUUUCUUUAAAUGCAUCUCACUAGUUUUCAAUCUCUUGGAAUGUCUGAUCAUCACUCCAUUUUUCAUUCUCUCUUCAGAUGGUACUCUCCAGGUCUCCUAGUUUUGCUUUUGCAAAAUCGACACUUUUAUAAAGGGUCUGGGUUACACCCUGCUGGUUAUCAGACCACCUGAAAGGUGCCCUUCUUGAUUAACCUAGCACAUAGCAGAAGUUAACGCCAGGGCCGUACUGGGAAUUAAAAGCAGCCCUGGAAAAAAGUUCUGUACCAGCCCCAUAAUGCAUUGUGCCAGCACAGUGUGCAGAUAUGAAAGCGGGAAAAAAAAACCUUAAAACUGAAAACCAUUACUCAAACAUGAAAGAAAGCACUAAUAGGGCUUCAAAAUAAACAAAACAGCAGAUUUGUUGUAAGCAGAUGUGCAUUUGAAUAUAAUCAAUGUUUCAGUACAACUACCUUGACAUAUUAAGGAAAGUUUGUAAUUCACUGAAAUUGUGAAUGUAUGCUAUCGUAGAGCAGUAAAAAAAAAAAAAAUGAAGUUAUCUUGCUCAUUUUGAAGUAACAAGAGUGUGCUCUUCACUUUGGUUGACAACUGGAUGAUCUCAGUCAACGCCAAUUCAAUUCCCAUAGGAAAGCCUUGGGAGGCUAUUGCGUAUGUGUGAAAUGUGUGAAAUGCAUUGCAUCUCUAUGGGGAGCGUUCAGCGCCUCCAUGCAGAGCGUGGAGAUGCUCAACAUAGGUACUGCACACUGUGCAACACUGGACUAGGAAGUAGCUCUAGUGGCCGUCUGAGUGACUGUCACUAGAGAUGUUCCUAGGCAGCAAUGUUAACACUGCCUUUUCUCUGAAAAGGUAGCAUUUACAGUGUUCAGCCUACAGGGACAGGCUAUAGACACCAGAACCACUGCAUUAAACUGUAGUAGUUCUGGUGACUAUAGUGUCUCUUUAAUACGACAUCUUUCUCUCACCGGUCAACUCUAAAUUACAGGGAGAGCAGGAGACACAAAUGAAUAUACACUUUGUUUCUGUCUUUUUCCCCCAAGCCCCUUUCAUGUGUCUCUUAGCCCCAGCCCCUUUGUCUCUUUCUUCCCUUCCCCAGUUCUUCUGUUAGUCUCUUUCCCAGGCCCCACACCUCUGUGUGUCUCUUUCCCCACAGCUCCUGUGUGUGUCUCAUUCUCCCCUUCUCCGGUCCCUCUGUGUGUCUUUUGUUCAUCUUUCUUAGUCCCUUUCUGUCUUUUUCCUCCAAACACUCUCUGUGUCUUUUUACUCCCCUGGAGACGUGUCUCAUUACCCCCGAACCCGUCCAUGUGUCUUAUUAGCCCCCCAUUUGUCCCACUUGCUCCCUCCAAGCCUUGUAUGUGUCUCAUUAGCCCUCCCAUGUGCCUCAGUAGCCCUCCCUAUGUGUCCCAUUAGCCCCCAGCCCUCCAUGUGUCUUAUCAGUCCUCCCUCGCAGCCUUCCAUGCAUCCCAU